rnacentral:rRNA from 2 species
CACACGACUCUCGGCAACGGAUAUCUCGGCUCUCGCAUCGAUGAAGAACGUAGCGAAAUGCGAUACCUGGUGUGAAUUGCAGAAUCCCGCGAACCAUCGAGUCUUUGAACGCAAGUUGCGCCUGAGGCCACUCGGCCGAGGGCACGCCUGCCUGGGCGUCACGC